GCGUUUUUUCAGAAGCAACAUUCCAAGCGGAUGUAUAUUGAUGCCGCCGAUGUGUUAUGUGUUGUUGAAUAGCUGCCUCAAUGUCGAUUAGAUAAUCAGACACUCAUCUCUAACUUUUAUGGACAUCUAAUUUCUUAGUGGCUCCUCGAGCGCUGGGGUUUGGUGUUAGGGUCGUUGAGGUGAUUCAACUCAAACCGGACGUGAGUGGGAAUGGUUGGCAUGCAACAUUCAUUAGCGCGUGGCCGCUGAUUUGGUGCAGCUCGGUGGCGGGGUCCGCCUGGGCACCUCGCGCAAGGCGCAGCUGAGGCGUUGUGCCGCGCCGGCCACCAGAGUAUCGCUGUACUCCGAUGCCAAGUACGACCAGAACAACUACACGUUCGACCCCAUCAAGGAGUCCAUUGUGGCCCGCGAGAUGACCCGGCGCUACAUGACCGACAUGAUCACCCACGCCGACACCGACGUGAUGGUGGUGGAUGCUGGGUCUGCGAGGCUUUCGUGCGCUUACGAGCUGUCGAAGAACCCCAGCGCGAAGGCGGCCAUCGUGGAGCAGUCGGUGUCGCAUGGAGCAAACUGUUUCGAGAACCAUUCAACUGACUUGAUGAAAGUCCUGAGGAAUCUAAGGCAGUGAGGCAAGCCAUAGUUGGAAUUCUGGCCGCAGGUGCAAUAUUCCGUUUGUUGGGGUUCACAACUCCAGCAGCAGAUCAGAAUUUGUUUUGCACUUUCCGUUUCGUCGUCACUUUUUCGAGUGACGCUUUUGAAAGGGUCCACGCUUUUGCUCAUCGCAGGAACCGAUAUGAGAAUGUGAUAGGAUUUAAGAUUCUUCACAGUGUUGGGUGUUGAGCGUUUUUACAAGUCGAUUGCAGACACAAUCACAUUGCGCAGGCAACGAUGGACAACCCACGGUUCGAUCUUAAGUUCCACCAACAAAAAACUUCUAUUCUGGCUCAGUCAACUAGCAUUUAACUCGAUCGACAGCCAGACCGUGGCAAAAUCCUUCCCAAAACGACGACGACGUCAUCUGGCUCUGGAAUCCGAUCGUUUCAACACUGCAAUCCUUCAUAAAAUGUGUUGAUGGACGUCACAGCAACUGUAUAGAAUUUUCACAGCUAUGAACGAGGAACAAUAGAGAGGGAUGCCGUUCAUGAUUUGGCAGUUUGAUUCUCUAAAUCUGAUCUCCAAAUUGGUGUUGCACGGCAAGAAGUUGAGAUCGAUGAGUAACACUAAUCCGGGGUUGCCUCUGGCAAAGAGUGUGGAAUGUAAUAUUUGAAAUAUUCAUUU